rnacentral:lncRNA from 1 species
CCAGCACUUCCCUCCUCCACGCGACUAACGCCGACCGUGAACCUGCUCUGGGCCAGGCGAGGCGGCAGGUCAAUCGAGAAACAGGUUCCGCCUGUCUCCACCCACACGAGUCACCAGUCUGGCUGGGGACGCAGACAACAACAAGUGGACACGGACAGUACUGAGCGGACAAGGAGAUGCAGAAAGGCAAAACUCAGAGGGACUCUCAGAACGGACCGCAGGGCGAACGCCAACCACGCACUGUGCACGAGGGACCAGCGAAGGCAGAGCGAAGGAUGCGGAACCCUCCGCCAGCACACCUUCCCGUUUACCAGUGUUCUGGAAAAUUCAGCCUAUGGGCAGAGACAGAGCCACGGUGCCAGGGCUGGGGAUGGAGCACCGGCUGACGGCAGAGCCGCUGGGGGUUUGGGAGCAAGGACUCGUGUGUCUGUGUUGUGGUGCCGGUUACACCCCCGCGCCUGUGUCCGUGCUGCAGAAUCACACCAGAAAAAGCGUAAAUUCUCCGUGUUGUAUCUCAAUAAAGCCUGCCACAACAGCACUUGUGCCACGCAGUCCACACACUUCUUUAUUAACUCCUUUAGUCACGAGACAAUAAUUAAACAUAGACUAAAGUUGAAGUUUUGUAUUGCGGUCAUAUUGGCUUAUAACAUUGUGUAAAUUAAAUUUCAGGUGUGCAUUAUUAUAUUUCAGUUUCUGUGUAGACUGCGUCGCGUUCACCACCAGUAGUCUAAUUUUUAUCUGUCGGCAUACGUAUGUGCCCGUUACCCCUUUCGCCCACCCCAGUCCCCUUCCCCUCUGGUCACCGCUGAGCUGUUCUCCUCACCUGUGUGCUCAUCUUCCACAUAUGAGUGAAAUCACGCGGUGUUUGUCUUUCCCUGCCUGGCUUAUUUUGCUUGACACAAGACCCUCAAGGUCCAUCCAUGCUGUUGCAAAUGGCAUAAAUUUGUCUUUUUUCUGGCUGAGUGGUACUCCAUUGUAUAUAUGCACCACAUCUCCUUUAUCCGGUCAUCAGUCGAUGCACUUGCUUCCACAUCUUGGCUGUUGUGAAUAGUGCUGCAGUGAACACAGAGGAGCAUAAAUCUCUCUGAAUUGUUAAUUCCGUGUUCUCUGGAUAAAUACCCAGUAGUAGGAUAGCUGGGUCAUACGAUAUUUCUAUUUUUAAUUGUUUUGAGAAAGCUCCAUACUGUUUUUCACAGUGGCUGCACCAGUUUUCACUCCCACCAGCCAUGUACGGGGGUUCCCUUCUCCCCACAUCCUCUCCAACACUUGUUUCUUGUCUUAUGAAUUGUAGCCCUUCUGACGGGUGUGAGGUGAUAUCUCACUGUAUUUUUAAUUGGCAUUUCCCUAGUAAUUAGUGAUAUUGAAUGUCUGUUCGUGUGCCUGUUGUCCAUCUGUAUGUCUUCUUUGGAAAAAUGUCUGUUCAUAUCCUCUGUCCAUUUUUUGAUCAGCUUGUUCAUUUUUUUGUUGUAUGAGUUCUUUAUAUAUUUUGGAAAUUAACCCCUGG